rnacentral:sRNA from 1 species
GCUGGGUGCGGUGGUGCAUGCCUGUAAUCCCAGCAGCUCAGGAGGUUGAGGCAGGAGGAUCAUGAGUUCAAUGCCAGCCUUAGCAAAAACGAGGUACUAAGCAACUCAUGAGACCCUGUCUCUA